GCAAACUUGGUCAUUUAGAGGAAGUAAAAGUCGUAACAAGGUCUCCGUAGGUGAACCUGCGGAGGGAUCAUUACAGAGUUCGUGCCCUCACGGGUAGAUCUCCCACCCUUGUGUAUUCAUACCUUUGUUGCUUUGGCAGGCCGCCUGGGCUUACGGCCUGGCCACCGGCUUCCGGGCUGGUGCGUGCCUGCCAGAGGAUCUCCAAACUCUAGUUAUCAGUGUCGUCUGAGUAUCAUACAAUCGUUAAAACUUUCAACAACGGAUCUCUUGGUUCUGGCAUCGAUGAAGAACGCAGC
rnacentral:misc_RNA from 1 species